AUACGAAGGGGGCAAGCGUUGUUCGGAAUAACUGGGCGUAAAGCGCACGUAGGCGGAUUGUUUAGUUAGAGGUGAAAUCCCAGGGCUCAACCCUGGAACUGCCUUUAAUACUGGUAGUCUAGAGACCGAGAGAGGUGAGUGGAAUUCCGAGUGUAGAGGUGAAAUUCGUAGAUAUUCGGAGGAACACCAGUGGCGAAGGCGGCUCACUGGCUCGGUACUGACGCUGAGGUGCGAAAGCGUGGGGAGCAAACAGGAUUAGAAACCCUAGUAGUCC
rnacentral:rRNA from 1 species